rnacentral:rRNA from 1 species
CAGCCGCCGCGGUAAUACGUAGGGCGCAAGCGUUAAUCGGAAUUACUGGGCGUAAAGCGUGCGCAGGCGGUUUGUUAAGACAGAUGUGAAAUCCCCGGGCUCAACCUGGGAACUGCAUUUGUGACUGGCAAGCUAGAGUGUGGCAGAGGGGGGUGGAAUUCCGCGUGUAGCAGUGAAAUGCGUGGAUAUGCGGAGGAACACCGAUGGCGAAGGCAGCCCCCUGGGCCAACACUGACGCUCAUGCGCGAAAGCGUGGGGAGCAAGCAGGAUUAGAUACCCGCGUAGUCCCUGUCUCUUAUAC